AUAAGAGAAUAAAAGCAGUCUGCCCCUAGCCAGCAGUGGCAACCCUUUCGGGUCCCCUUCCACACUGUGGUAGCUUUGUUCUUUCGCUCUUUGCAAUAAAUCGUGCUACUGCUCACUCUUUGGGUCCACACUGCUUUCAUGAGCUGUAACACUCACCGCGAAAGUCUGCAGCUUCGCUCCCGAAGCCAGCGAGACCACGAUACCACCAGGAAGAACGAACAACUCCAGAUGCGCCACCUUAAGAGCUGUAACACUCACCGCGAAGGCCUGCAGCUUCACUUCUGAGCCAGCGAGACGACGAACCCACCAGAAGGAAGAAACUCCGAACACAUCCGAACAUCAGAAGGAACAAACUCCAGACGCGCCACCUUAAGAGCUGUAACACUCAACGCGAGGGUCUGCGGCUUCAUUCUUGAAGUCAGUGAGACCAGGAACCCACCAAUUCCGGACACAGUGACGGGUGCCUGUAAUCCCAUCUACUUGGGAGGCUGAGACAGGAGAAUUGCUUGAACCUGGGAGGCAGAGGUUGCAGCGAGCUGAGAUCGUGCCAUUGCACUCCAGCUUGGGUGACAGAGCGAGACUCCAUCUCAAAAAAAAAAAAAAAAAAGAAAGAAAAGAAAAGAGAAUUAGCCGUGGUCAAUGUGUUUACAACACAGACAUCCCCAGAUGUUGGAAUUUAUUUUUUUAACCCCAGGAAGCCAGUUAUUAACAUGCACCACCAAAGGAGAGGAUAGAGGUAGCUGACAGGGAAGUCUAAGAAGAUACUAAAGCAUUUUCAGCUUCAAACAUGUGCUACCUGACUAGAUGGAAUUCCUUGAGAACUGUAUUAACAUGUUUCAAAGAGUUGAAUUAACAGAUGGAGUUUCGCUCUUGUUGCCCAGGCUGGAGUGCAAUGCUGCGAUCUCGACUCACCGUAACCUCCGCUUCUGGGGUUCAAGUGAUUCUCCUGCCUCAGCCUCCCAAGUAGCUAGAAUUACAGGUAUGAGCCACCACACGCCCGGCCAGUAUUGUGAGUUUUAAAGAAUGCAUUUUAAUAUGUUUCACUUUUUAAAGCUCCUAAGUGGUUUUGUUGCUAAUUUUUUUAAAUUUUGUUUUGUGAAGAGAUUGGUAACAUAAAUUGUAAAGCAGAAAUUAAUUCACCUAGCUUUCCUCAUCACAGUUUAAGACGGAUAUUUGUGUUCUGGUUUGCUUAUUUGUUUUUCCGGGUCCACACAUUCACUCAUAUGUGUUUAGAUUUUUCAUGUGGAAGGCAGUGAUAUAAUUUCAGGCCUAUAUGUUUUGACCCUCUGUUCACACAUGGUUGUUAUAUGCCCUGACAUUGUGUUUACUUCACAUUUCCUAUUUUUCCACUGUAUAUCUGAG
rnacentral:lncRNA from 1 species